CCCUUAGAUGUUCUGGGCUACACGCGCGCUACACUGACGCACGCAACAGGUGCCUGCUCCGAGAGGACUGGGUAAUCAUUUGAGUGUGCGUCGUGAUGGGGAUAGAAUAUUGUAAUUAUUACUCUUCAACGAGGAAUUCCUAGUAAGCGCCAGUCAGCAGCUUGCGCUGAUUACGUCCCUGCCCUUUGUACACACCGCCCGUCGCUCCUACCGAUGGGUGAUCCGGUGAAUGAUUCGGACUUCAGCGGCUCCCCUGGGGUGCGCCGGAGAAAGUUUUGUGAACCUUAUCACUUGGAGGAAGGAGAAGUCGUAACA
rnacentral:rRNA from 1 species